AAAGUGCCUGUAAAUAAACCCUGAGUGGGCAACAUGAAUGGCCGCAGACCAGACAAAAUGAGAAUCCAGUUAAACAAGUGCAUGAAAUAUGCCCCUUAGUCCACUCAGCCUGCAACACAAAAGCACAGAACAGGCAGCUUCUAAACCACAGACAUUGACUUCCGUUCUGGAGGCCGGAAGUCCAAGAUGGAGGGUCCCGCAGAUUCCGUGUCUGAUUGUUGCAGCAGAUCCAACUGAAGGAUACACCAACCAUUUUAAUCGGACACAAAAGAACAGGCUGUCCUCACCUGACCACCACCCACAACAACCGAACUUUAAUCAGACACAAAAGAACAGGCUGUCACCUGACCACCACCCACAACAACCGAAGGGCAGGGUGAGUCCAUUUAGAGUCUCGAGAAUUUCAGACGUGCAUUCACUUUAAAGAGUCUUGCUGUGUCACCAGGCUGAUCUCGGCUCACCACAACCUCCGCCGCCCAAGUUCAAGUAAUUCUCCAGCCUCAGCCUCCCCAGUAGCUGGGACUACAGGCAUGUGCCACCAUGUCCAGCUAAUUUUUGUAUUUUUAGUAGAGACAGGGUUUCACCACGUUGGCCAGGAUGGUCUCGAUCUCUUGACCUUGUGAUCCACCUACCCCAGCCUCCCAAAGUGCUGGGAUUACAGGCGUGAGCCACCGUGCCUGGCCCUGGUUUCCUUUUUCUUAGCAAUCUUUUCUUCAAUAUACUUUUUCCAACUCUCACAUUUUACUAUGAGCAGCAAGAAGAAACCAGGCUCUUCCUUCAACAUUUUCCUUAGAGAUCUCCUCAGCUAAAUAUCCAAGUUUGUCCCCUACAGGUUAUACUUUCGACACAACAAGACACAAUUGCACCAACUUCUCUACCAUGUUGUGGCAAAGAUCAUCUCCUGCGUUUUCCAAUAGCAUGUUCCUAUUUCCGUCUGAGCCCUCCCCAGAAUCACCUUUAACAUCCAUAUGUCUACCAACUGUAUCUUCAGAACAAUUGAGUCUUCUUCUGACAUAAAUGUUAAAACUCUCUCUGCCUCUAACCGUUACCCAGUUCCAAAGCCACCCCGGCAUUGUCAGGUAUUGGUCACAGCACUUCCUUUCUCAGAACCAAAAUCUCUCUUAGCCUGCUCAGGCUUCCAGAGCACAGGAACACACACCAGGGGACUUAAAGCCAAAGAAACCCACUGUCGUAGAGUUGUGAGGUCUAGAAGUCCAAAAUCAGAGUGUUGUCAGGGCCAACCUACACCUCGUGCUGUAAAGGGGGCCCUCCCUUGCCUCUUCCUCCUCCUGGUCACCCCAGGCAUUACUCACCCUGUUGACGGGUCCUAAUCUCUGCCUCUGACUUCACGUGGAUUCUUCCUGUGUGUGCAUCUGUCUCCAAAUGUCCCCAUUUCAUAAGGGCACUUCUUUAGGCAUUUCAUUAAGGCUCACCCUAGUGAUUUCACUUUGAAUUGUUUGCUUAAGAUCACAUUUUGAGGUAGUGGGGGUUAGGCUUUCUACAUAUCUGUUUUAGAUAAAAAUUCCAAAUUCAGACAAAAUUCAACCUAUGACAAAGUCAUGCUAUUGCUAUUACAUACUCGACCUAUAACGAAGUUACACUAUUAACUCACUACUACAUACUCAGUAUAACAAACUCACUCUAAUACUCACUACUACAUACUCAGUAUAACAAAGUCAUGGUAAUACUCACUACUACAUACUUGGUAUAACAAAGUCACGCUAAUACUAACUACUACAUACUCGGUACAAAGUCAUGCUAAUACUCACUACUACAUACUUGACCUAUGACAAAGUCACACUAUUACCACUGCCCAACCAACCUAUAACGCAGUCACACUAUUACUCACUGCUACACACUCGACCUAUAAGAAAGUCAUGGUAUUACCGCUGCAUAUCCGACCUACGACAAAGUCACCCUAUUACUCACUGCUGCAUACUCAAUCCCAGAUUUACAAUCGGAAGCCUCUGCUGGUGAAAAUAUGGAAGUCAAUACUGAAUGUCCCUUUCUUUGCCAUAAAACUGCCAUCACACAGAAGAGAGAACUUACCAAGCAAUACCAACACAUUCAUUCUCCAAUAAAAUUAUUAAUUUCUUC